AGCAGCCGCGGUAAUUCCAGCUCCAAUAGCGUAUAUUAAAGUUGUUGCAGUUAAAAAGCUCGUAGUUGAAUUUCGGGGUCAGUAGGUUGGUCAUGCCACUGGUAUGUACUGGUCUCACUGAUUCCUCCUUCCUGAUGAGCCGUAAUGCCAUUAAUUUGGUGUUGCGAGGAAUCUGGACUGUUACUUUGAAAAAAUUAGAGUGUUUAAAGCAAGCUAACGCUUGAAUACAUUAGCAUGGAAUAAUGAAAUAGGACGUUCGAUCCUAUUUUGUUGGUUUCUAGGAUUGACGUAAUGAUUAAUAGGGAUAGUUGGGGGCAUUAGUAUUCAAUUGUCAGAGGUGAAAUUCUUGGAUUUAUUGAAGACUAACUACUGCGAAAGCAUUUGCCAAGGAUGUUUUCAUUAAUCAAGAACGAAAGUUAGGGGAUCGAAGACGAUCAGAUACCGUCGUAGUCUUAACCAUAAACUAUAGCCGACUAGGGAUCGGAUGAUGUAAUUUUUAAUGACUCAUUC
rnacentral:rRNA from 1 species